rnacentral:rRNA from 1 species
ACGGGAGGCAGCAGUAGGGAAUAUUGCACAAUGGGGGAAACCCUGAUGCAGCAACGCCACGUGUGGGAAGAAGCAUUUCGGUGUGUAAACCACUGUCGUGAGGGAAUAAUGCUUGGUCUCGGCCAAGUUGAAUGUACCUCGAAAGGAAGCACCGGCAAACUUCGUGCCAGCAGCCGCGGUAAUACGAGGGGUGCAAGCGUUGUUCGGAAUCACUGGGCGUAAAGGGAGCGCAGGCGGAGAUGCAAGCAGUCUGUACAAUACCGGGGCCCAACCCCGGACCUGCAGACUGGACUGUUUCUCUUGGAUAGUUCAGGGGCAAGCGGAAUUCCUGGUGUAGCGGUGGAAUGCGUAGAGAUCAGGAAGAACACCGAUGGCGAAGGCAGCUUGCUGGGGACUUAUCGACGCUCAUGCUCGAAAGUGCGGGUAGCAAACAGGAUUAGAUACCCUGGUA